rnacentral:misc_RNA from 1 species
UACGGAGGGUGCAAGCGUUAAUCGGAAUUACUGGGCGUAAAGCGCGCGUAGGUGGUUGGGUAAGUCGGGUGUGAAAGCCCCGGGCUUAACUUGGGAAUUGCAUUCGAUACUGCCCAACUAGAGUAUGGAAGAGGGAAGCGGAAUUUCCGGUGUAGCGGUGAAAUGCGUAGACAUCGGAAGGAACACCAGUGGCGAAGGCGGCUUCCUGGUCCAAUACUGACACUGAGGCGCGAAAGCGUGGGUAGCGAACAGG